AGUCGGUUUGAAUGCAAUAUAAAUACAUGUACAUUGAGAAAUAACACUCCAGUAAUGCAGUACUCGAUAACUGUAGGAGGCUGACUAUACCGUCUGUGUGUGGAGUGACGGGCAGAGCAGCUCACGACGUCGCCGCUGUCUCAUGUUUCCGCUCGCACGCUCAUCCAAGUUCUCCUACACUGCCAUGAGCUCCAGAGCGCUGACUGGUCUUAUGAGGUAGGCGAAGCUUCAGCCAUCAUUAUGGGUGGAUUGGAACUUCUAUCAACAUAGUCAUUCACCCCACCUGUCCCUUACAGCC